UACGAAGGGGGCUAGCGUUGCUCGGAAUCACUGGGCGUAAAGGGUGCGUAGGCGGGUUUGUAAGUCAGGGGUGAAAUCCUGGAGCUCAACUCCAGAACUGCCUUUGAUACUGAAGAUCUUGAGUUCGGGAGAGGUGAGUGGAACUGCGAGUGUAGAGGUGAAAUUCGUAGAUAUUCGCAAGAACACCAGUGGCGAAGGCGGCUCACUGGCCCGAUACUGACGCUGAUGUGCGAAAGCGUGGGGAGCAAACAGG
rnacentral:rRNA from 1 species